rnacentral:rRNA from 1 species
CCUACGGGAGGCAGCAGUGAGGAAUAUUGGUCAAUGGUCGGGAGACUGAACCAGCCAAGCCGCGUGAGGGAUGAAGGUACAGAGUAUCGUAAACCUCUUUUGUCAGGGAACAAAGGCGGGGACGCGUCCCCGGAUGAGUGUACCUGACGAAUAAGCAUCGGCUAACUCCGUGCCAGCAGCCGCGGUAAUACGGAGGAUGCGAGCGUUAUCCGGAUUUAUUGGGUUUAAAGGGUGCGCAGGCGGUCUGUUAAGUCAGCGGUAAAACCCCGGGGCUCACCCCCGGCCCGCCGUUGAAACUGUCAGUCUCGAGAUGGAGAGAAGUAUGCGGAAUGCGCGGUGUAGCGGUGAAAUGCAUAGAUGUCGCGCAGAACUCCGAUUGCGAAGGCAGCAUGCCGGCUCCACACUGACGCUGAGGCACGAAAGCGUGGGUAUCGAACAGGAUUAGAUACCCCUGUAGUC